UCCAGACUCCUACGGGAGGCAGCAGUGGGGGAUAUUGCACAAUGGGGGCAACCCUGAUGCAGCGACGCCGCGUGAGCGAUGGAGUACUUCGGUAUGUAAAGCUCUGUCAGCAGGGAAGAGAAUGACGGUACCUGACCAAGAAGCCCCGGCUAAAUACGUGCCAGCAGCCGCGGUAAUACGUAUGGGGCAAGCGUUAUCCGGAUUUACUGGGUGUAAAGGGAGCGCAGGCGGCCUUGCAAGUCUGAUGUGAAAGGCCGGGGCCCAACCCCGGGACUGCAUUGGAAACUGCGAGGCUGGAGUGUCGGAGAGGCAGGCGGAAUUCCUAGUGUAGCGGUGAAAUGCGUAGAUAUUAGGAGGAACACCAGUGGCGAAGGCGGCCUGCUGGACGAUGACUGACGCUGAGGCUCGAAAGCGUGGGGAGCAAACAGGAUUAGAUACCCGGGUA
rnacentral:rRNA from 1 species